UACGUAGGGUGCGAGCGUUGUCCGGAAUUACUGGGCGUAAAGAGCUCGUAGGUGGUUUGUCGCGUUGUCCGUGAAAACUCACAACUCAAUUGUGGGCGUGCGGGCGAUACGGGCAGACUGGAGUACUGCAGGGGAGACUGGAAUUCCUGGUGUAGCGGUGGAAUGCGCAGAUAUCAGGAGGAACACCCAUGGCGAAGGCAGCUCUCUGGUCGACCUCUGACGCUGAGACGCGAAAGCGUGGGGAGCGAACGGG
rnacentral:rRNA from 1 species